UUAACCAAAACAGUUGGUGGCAAACACCUUUGUUAAAAGGAAGGGUGUUCCUUGAUUCAAGGCCGGUGUCUUAAUCAUCAUUCAUGAUUAUGCAUAAUUGAAUAAUCAUUCAAUCAUACCAGACAACUCUCUCUCACUCUCUCUGUCUCACGUCCGAAAACCAUCCAAGAAACAGAGCAAUCUUCAUCAACUCAUCUCUCCCUCCACCGACCACCAAUCAAGACCAGACCAGUUCCUAUAGUUCCACCUCGUUCUUGCGCAGCUACCAGUGGCAACCUUGCACCGCAACACGGCCGGCAGUGGCGGCGGAGGACACGGUUCCGUUUUGAGCUCGAUUUGGUUCUAUCUCGAUAUCUUGAGCUACAGGCCGCCAAUUCUCUUGAUUCUUGUCUCAUUGGAUUCGCCUCAACUUUCUGAACAAGCACCAAGAAGGACCAGACCUGGGAAGAACGAUUUCACGUUCAUCGGAGCUCGACUGGUUUAGAUCGACAAACAACCCUUCGAUCCGUGUAUCUCGAGUUACAGACCACCUCUUUAUGUGAUUCUUGGCUUAGUGAGUUCUUCUUGAAGUUCUGAACAACUCUCCAGAAGGAAUCGAAGCGUUUCGUUGAAGUUUUUACGUCGAAACUCAAGCUCGCCGGAUUCUGGAAUUUUUCCGACCACCGAAGCUUUCGAUCGGUAUAUCUCGAGCUACAGACCAUAUUUUUCUGUGAUUCUUGAACCAAUGAGUUCACCUUGAGUUUCUUAACAACUCUCUAGAAGGGAUCGAAGCCUGAAAUUGAAGUUUUGACGUCGAAAUCAAGCCUUGCCGGAUUCUGCAAAUUUCGCCGGAUUCUGGAAAUUUUCCGGCCACCUCGACUGUUUUAGGUGAUUGACGGUCUCCCUUGGGUGAGCGAUUUCGGUGUGUAUUGUGUUAAACUGAAGACGCAGCGGGAAUAUCGAGCGGGUAAUCCUGCAGGUCAGGAGAAUCAGGGCGAUGAUCGAGCCGGUUAGAGUAUUUGUUAUAGUUUUACAGCAUUUGUAAUAGUGAGGUGAGUUAAGCUCAUUGAGCCUUAGAAUUUGAUUUGGUGAGAGUGUGUUGUAAUAAUUAACUUGAGGAUUUGAUUUAUUGUAAUAUUGAGAGGUGUGAAGUGUGGUUGUUUUGAGAAAAAAAUUCAGGUUGUAUUUAUGUGAGUUGUAUUAAUUCAUGUUUCGGAUUUGGAUUUGUUAUUCAAAAUCCGGGGC